rnacentral:lncRNA from 1 species
CCCAUAUCCCCCCCCCAUACCUGUGUGUUCCCCCCGCUGACGUACAGCACCAGGGGGUCCCGGGCUGCCCCCAACAGCCGCCCCAUCUCGAUGUGCCCCACGCAGUGAUUCACGGCCACCAAUGGACGCCCCCAAAGCUGCGCCAACGUCCGCGCCACCGCCGCCACCACCGCCAAUGGGGCGCCCAUCCCCGGCCCUACAAGUGGGGGGGGGGAGAUAUGGGGUCUAUGGGGGCUCUAUGGGGGUCUAUGGGGUCUCUAUGGAGCUCUAUGGGACUCUAUGGGGUAUCCAUGGAGCUCUAUGGAGCUCUAAAGGGGUCUAUGGAGCUCUAUGGGGACACUAUGGAGGCUCUAUGGGGGUCUAUGGGGCUCUAUGGAGCUCUAUGGGGUCUCUAUGGGGGUCUGUGAGGGUCUAUGGGGACGCUAUGGGGCUCUAAGGGGACUCUAUGGAGGUCUAUGGGGCUCUAUGGGGGUCUAUGGGGCUCUAUGGGGGCUCCAUGGGGCUCUAUGGGGGCUCCAUGGGGCUCUAUGGGGGUCUAUGGAAUCUCUAUGGGGCUCUAUGGGGCUCGAUGGGGGCCAUGGGGUCUCCAUGGGAGUCUAAGGGGACUCUACUGAGGUCUAUGGGGUCUCUAUGGGGCACUAUGGGGUCUCUAUGGGUCCCUAUGUCCCACCACCGCCAAUGGGGCGCCCAUCCCCGGCCCUACAAGUGGGGGAGGGAGAGGGGGGGGGAGAUAUGGGGUCUAUGGGGGCUCUAUGGGACUCUAUGGGGGUCUAUGAGGCUCUAUGGGGGUCGAUGGGAUCUCUAUGGGGGUCUAUGGCGUCUCCAUGGGGGUCUAUGGGGACUCUAUGGGGCUCUAAGGGGUUUCUAUGGGGCGCUAAGGGGUCUCCAUGGGGGUCUAUGGGGGUCUAUGGGGGCUCCAUGGCGCUCUAAGGGGACUCUAUGGAGGUCUAUGGGGCUCUAUGGGGUAUCUAUGGGCGGCUAUGGGGGUCUAUGGGGGUCUAUGGGGUUCAAAGAAGUCUCUAUGGGGCUCUAUGGGGUCUCUAUGGGGGCUCUAUGGGGGCUCUAUGGGGGUCUAUGGGGGCUCUAUGCGGGUCUAUGGGGUCUCUAUGUCCCACCACCGCCAAUGGGGCGCCCAUCCCCGGCCCUACAAGUGGGGGGGGGAAAGGGGCAGGGAGAUAUGGGGUCUAUGGGGCUCUAUGGGGCUCUAUGGGGCCUCUAUGGGAGUCUAUGGGGGUCUACGAGGCUCUAUGAGGGCUCUAUGGGGCUCUACAGGGAUCUAUGGGGACUCUAUGGGGGUCUAUGGGGUCCCUAUGGGGGUCUUUGGGGUCCCUAUGGGGAG